CCAGCACAUAAGAUCAAGCAAAGCAAAUAAAAUCGAAAGUCAAACUUGGAAUCUGUUCUUCAGCUGCUCAUCCCCUACAACAAAGAGACAUGAAAAAAACAAAAAAAAAAAAAAACUCAGAAGAGCAAAAGAAUGUCGUCUGAAUUUCAAACAAUUUGAAGAAUACCAUUCCAAACCAAAGUUCCCCUUUUUCAUAUUCUCCCAAUACACGGAACACGCAUUCUUCCAAUACACACACAACAUUAAUUACUUAAUUACUAGUGUCUUCAAUUCUUGAUUCGAAAUGAAGGAGAUGCCCCUGCAGGUGAACGGAGGAGGAGAUGGACAAGUGCGGGAUGCACCUUCUUGCAUUACCGCACGUGUAGAGGUGCAUCAAGGGUUUGACCUAGCGCUUGCCCACCGACAACGUGCUACAACUCGCAUGCACUCAGAUCUCACGUAACAAUGAUCUCGUGCCGCCGAGACUAGAUCUGCUCGUUUGGUGGUGGUGGUUGUAAGGUAUGGCGAUGAUCUUGAAGGUAACGAUGAGUCCCACGUCCUGCACGUGUCCUCCCGCUAUGCCGACACUCACCUCGCCACGCUCCUCAAACACCAAGAACAAGGCACCCACCCCUCCAACGGCCACUGAACCUGUUCGUCGAUGCGGGCGACAACCGCCACCACUUUCCGAGGCUCGAUAUGGUCAGAUCGCCUUCUCUCUCUGCAGAUCCAUACACUGUUUCUCUCUCUUCGUGUUCCUUCUGGCCAUUGGGGUAAGAAAGUUUCAAAGAUGAAGAGGUUGGAGAGAGGGGUUCGGAAAUUUGUGACGGUUUUUGCAUUUUGUGGGCCCCAGAAAUCGUAACUAUUUAUGGGAACAACGAGAGUGACACGUGGAUUUGAUUAUAGAUUUUAAUUUUACAAUGAAAACUUUUUCAUACUUCGAGGACAAAAAAACAUACUUUAUCCUUUUAAGGAUAGAGGAUAAAAAAAAUACAUAUUAUCUAUAAAGGUAAAAUUAAAAACGUUAUGCCGAGGUGGAA
rnacentral:lncRNA from 1 species